rnacentral:tRNA from 1 species
GGCCCGUUGGUGAAGCGACAAACACUUACGCCUCUCAAGCGUACAUACAUGGGUUUAAAUCCCGUACGGGUCACCA